rnacentral:rRNA from 1 species
UUUCGGGGUCAGUAGGUCGGUCGUGCCACUGGUAUGAACUGGUUUUACUGAUUCCUCCCUCUUGAAGAACUGUAAUGCCAUUAAUUUGGUGUUGCAGGGAAUCAGGACUGUUACUUUGAAAAAAUUAGAGUGUUUAAAGCAGGCUUUAGCUUGAAUACAUUAGCAUGGAAUAAUGAAAUAGGACGUUUGAUCCUAUUUUGUUGGUUUCUAGGAUUGACGUAAUGAUUAAUAGGGAUAGUUGGGGGCAUUAGUAUUCAAUUGUCAGAGGUGAAAUUCUUGGAUUUAUUGAAGACUAACUACUGCGAAAGCAUUUGCCAAGGAUGUUU